UACGUAGGGGGCAAGCGUUGUCCGGAAUCAUUGGGCGUAAAGCGCGCGUAGGCGGUUCGGUAAGUCUGCUGUGAAAGUCCAGGGCUCAACCCUGGGAUGCCGGUGGAUACUGUCGAACUAGAGUACGGAAGAGGCGAGUGGAAUUCCCGGUGUAGCGGUGAAAUGCGCAGAUAUCGGGAGGAACACCAGUGGCGAAGGCGACUACCUGGCCCAUUCUUGACGCUGAGGCGCGAAAGCUAGGGGAGCGAACAGG
rnacentral:rRNA from 1 species